rnacentral:rRNA from 1 species
UACGGAGGGGGCGAGCGUUGUUCGGAAUUACUGGGCGUAAAGCGCACGUAGGCGGCUUUGUAAGUUAGAGGUGAAAGCCCAGGGCUUAACCCUGGAAUUGCCUUUAAGACUGCAUCGCUAGAAUCGUGGAGAGGUGAGUGGAAUUCCGAGUGUAGAGGUGAAAUUCGUAGAUAUUCGGAAGAACACCAGUGGCGAAGGCGACUCACUGGACACGUAUUGACGCUGAGGUGCGAAAGCGUGGGGAGCAAACAGG